rnacentral:rRNA from 1 species
UACAGAGGUCCCAAGCGUUGUUCGGAUUCACUGGGCGUAAAGGGUGCGUAGGCGGUUGGGUAAGUCUGAUGUGAAAUCUCACAGCUUAACUGUGAAACUGCAUCGGAUACUAUCCGGCUAGAGGAAUGGAGGGGAGACUGGAAUACUUGGUGUAGCAGUGAAAUGCGUAGAUAUCAAGUGGAACACCAGUGGCGAAGGCGAGUCUCUGGACAUUUCCUGACGCUGAGGCACGAAAGCCAGGGGAGCAAACGGG